rnacentral:siRNA from 1 species
UGUGUCAGCAAUGAUAGAUUGGG